rnacentral:lncRNA from 1 species
AAGAAUAACAAUUCUAGUUCCCUACAAAUCAGCCGGUUCAGAGCUGUCCCUCAAAAUCCUGGCCGUCUCAGUGUUAAAGAAGUGCGACCUCUCUCCGCCCUGGGUGGCGCCAUCCAGACAAGGUGGGGCAGAUAGUGCCCUCUCUCCCCUCUGUCUCCCACUCUCUGUCUCUCCUUCCCUCUUUCUCCAAGCCCAGCGGAUCCAUUUCUCCUCCCGGCUGUGAUCAUGACAAGCGUCCCCGUUUCUUCCUUCUACCCCUGAGCCCCCCCUUCUUAAACUUGACCCACGUUGACCUCCACACCAUUACGUCUGAAUGGGUCGCCUGCAACUCAUUAAAAUCCACGACUGCAGCACAGAUGAAAGAUGAAGCGGAUUAACCGGGGGCUCCGAUGUAUCCGUGAGAUUGACUCUUCGCUGUAGGCAAUGGAAUCUUUUCUCUUUUUCUUAACAAUCAAUCAAGAGUGAAUUAAACAGAAGGGUUUCCGAAGACGCUCAUUAUCUCCAUUCCUCGAAACAGCCCCUCCCCAUUGCUCCAGCCUCUGCCCCUCACAAGCCGGCUGUGCCAUCCCUGCGUGUGGGCCUGCACUGGGCCAUUCAUUUUUCCUCGCCCCUGGGAAGAGUGGCGACCACCACUUCUUGGCGACGACUAUGGGGUCCUCCCCGUGGGCACAAUCAGGAGUUGGCAAUGCCCCAUACCCGAGGCCCUUUCAUGUCAAACCCAUUCACGUAGGCUGCGACUCACUGCAACCUGAUGCCAGCGGCCGGCCGCCAGCUCGGGGUUCUGUCACCAGGGCAGCGCUGGCCAGCAGCGAGGCAGGGGACGCCAAGCUCACAGGGAGAGGGAUUUCAUUUCUCUUCUGCUCACAUUUUUCUCAUUAAAAAUUUCAAAACCUCCCAAGACUCAGAAGUAAUUGCAGCAGAUUUCUAGUUCAAGCCCCUUUAUUUGCUACAAGAACCAAAGGAUGGGGGCGUGAAGCGAUCAGCCACGCACAGGCGUCGGACCUACGGGGCGCUGGACACGGAGGUCCUUCCCGCUCAGCACAAGGUUUGGGAAGACAAUUUCGAUAACAAAGCAUCUAAUCUUUCGAAUUGCCCCUACCUGGAGUUUUAAAAGGCGUUAAGACAUGAGGAAGCUGACUCUCAUCACUGCUUCUGGCUAGCACAGUGCAG